rnacentral:rRNA from 1 species
CCCUUAGAGUUUGAUCCUGGCUCAGGAUGAACGCUAGCUACAGGCUUAACACAUGCAAGUCGAGGGGAAACGACAUCGAAAGCUUGCUUUUGAUGGGCGUCGACCGGCGCACGGGUGAGUAACGCGUAUCCAACCUGCCCACCACUUGGGGAUAACCUUGCGAAAGUAAGACUAAUACCCAAUGACGUCUCUAGAAGACAUCUGAAAGAGAUUAAAGAUUUAUCGGUGAUGGAUGGGGAUGCGUCUGAUUAGCUUGUUGGCGGGGUAACGGCCCACCAAGGCGACGAUCAGUAGGGGUUCUGAGAGGAAGGUCCCCCACAUUGGAACUGAGACACGGUCCAAACUCCUACGGGAGGCAGCAGUGAGGAAUAUUGGUCAAUGGACGAGAGUCUGAACCAGCCAAGUAGCGUGCAGGAUGACGGCCCUAUGGGUUGUAAACUGCUUUUAUAAGGGAAUAAAGUGAGUCUCGUGAGACUUUUUGCAUGUACCUUAUGAAUAAGGACCGGCUAAUUCCGUGCCAGCAGCCGCGGUAAUACGGAAGGUCCGGGCGUUAUCCGGAUUUAUUGGGUUUAAAGGGAGCGUAGGCCGGAGAUUAAGCGUGUUGUGAAAUGUAGACGCUCAACGUCUGCACUGCAGCGCGAACUGGUUUCCUUGAGUACGCACAAAGUGGGCGGAAUUCGUGGUGUAGCGGUGAAAUGCUUAGAUAUCACGAAGAACUCCGAUUGCGAAGGCAGCUCACUGGAGCGCAACUGACGCUGAAGCUCGAAAGUGCGGGUAUCGAACAGGAUUAGAUACCCUGGUAGUCCGCACGGUAAACGAUGGAUGCCCGCUGUUGGUCUGAAUAGGUCAGCGGCCAAGCGAAAGCAUUAAGCAUCCCACCUGGGGAGUACGCCGGCAAC